rnacentral:lncRNA from 1 species
GGGGGUUGGAGGGGAUUUGAAUGGAACCGUCGCUGCUUGGGCGGAAUCUGUGGCGACCUGCGAAUGCGAUUUGGGAUGCUUGGCUUCGUAUCUUGGAUGCGGCUUGUCGUCUUGUCGAAUGCGUUUGGUCGUUUCUUUCUCAGUGCCCAGGUCAAACGGUCAAAGCGAGUGCACACUCAGGUCGACGUGUAAUUGAUCAGCCCAUUAGGCCCAUUAGGCAACAUUGUUGUUUUUGGAUUCCUUUUUCAAUUGUGUUGGGAAAAUUGCAAAAACC